UCAUCGGGGGUGGUGGGGGGGCCGUCGCCUCGCUGCUCGUCUACACGCAGCGGCUACGCAAAGUGGCGGUGCAGGAGAACCCCGUGGUGAGGAUGAGUAUGUGGAAGGAGGUUCCAUCCUCAGGAUUGUACCUCGGCGUCAGGAACAGCCGUCGGGUCACCAGUCCCAUCAAGGCCGCAAAUUAUGAGUCUCAUCUCAACAAAACUGCUCAGCGACUCCAACUUCCUGAUGUCUGAGGAGUUCGAGGAUCUGAAGGACGUUGGAAGGAACCAAACGAUGGACGUCGCUCGACUGCCUGAGAACCGAGCGAAGAACCGUUACAACAACAUCCUGCCGUGUGAGUGUGUGUGUGUGUGUGUGUGUGUCUGUGUGUGUGUGUGU